rnacentral:rRNA from 1 species
UACGGAGGGGGCGAGCGUUAUUCGGAAUUAUUGGGCGUAAAGGGCGCGUAGGCGGCCCGGUAAGUCAAAGGUGAAAUCCCUCGGCUCAACUGAGGAACUGCCUUUGAAACUGUCGGGCUUGAGGCCGGGAGGGGGUAGCGGAAUUCCCAGUGUAGCGGUGAAAUGCGUAGAUAUCGGGAGGAACACCAGUAGCGAAGGCGGCACCCUGGGCCGGUACUGACGCUGAGGAGCGAAAGCGUGGGGAGCAAACAGG